rnacentral:rRNA from 1 species
GUAUCCUGGCUCAGGACGAACGCUGGCGGCGUGCUUAACACAUGCAAGUCGAACGAGAAUCUGUGGAUCGAGGAUUCGUCCAAGUGAAGCAGAGGACAGUGGCGGACGGGUGAGUAACGCGUGAGGAACCUGCCUUUCAGAGGGGGACAACAGUUGGAAACGACUGCUAAUACCGCAUGAUACAUUUGGGUGGCAUCAUCUGAAUGUCAAAGAUUUAUCGCUGAAAAGAUGGG